rnacentral:rRNA from 1 species
ACGGGAGCAGCAGGCGCGAAACCUCUGCAAUAGGCGAAAGCUUGACAGGGUUACUCUGAGUGAUGUCCGUUAAGGGCAUCUUUUGGCACUUCUAAAAAUAGUGCAGAAUAAGGGGUGGGCAAGUCUGGUGUCAGCCGCCGCGGUAAUACCAGCACCCCGAGUGGUCGGGACGAUUAUUGGGCCUAAAGCAUCCGUAGCCGGUUCUGCAAGUCUUCCGUUAAAUCCACCUGCUCAACAGAUGGGCUGCGGAGGAUACUACAGGGCUAGGAGGCGGGAGAGGCAAGCGGUACUCAGUGGGUAGGGGUAAAAUCCUCUGAUCCACUGAAGACCACCAGUGGCGAAGGCGGCUUGCCAGAACGCGCUCGACGGUGAGGGAUGAAAGCUGGGGGAGCAAACCGGAUUAGAUACCCGGGUAGUCCCAGCUGUAAACGAUGCAGACUCGGUGAUGGGUUGGCUUCGAGCCAACCCAGUGCCGCAGGGAAGCCGUUAAGUCUGCCGCCUGGGGAGUACGGUCGCAAGACUGAAACUUAAAGGAAUUGGCNGGGGAG